rnacentral:rRNA from 1 species
CAAAAACAUUGCUCCUCGAUCCUGUAUGAGGAGUACCUCCUGCCCAGUGAUUUAACGGCCGCGGUAUCCUAACCGUGCAAAGGUAGCAUAAUCACUUGCUCAUUAAUUGUGGGCUAGAAUGAAUGGAUAAACGAAAUAUAUUCUGUCUCUGCAAGAACCUUAAAAAUUAUCCUCUAAUUGAAGAAAAUUAGAUAAAAUUGAAGGACAAGAAGACCCUAUAGAGCUUUAUUUUUACUGGGAUAUAUCCAAUAUAAAAUUCGGUUGGGGCGACCAGGGAAAUCAUAAAUCAUCCCUUCUACAUAGAUUUACUAAUCUAAAAUUUGACCCUAUUAUAGAUCAUAGAAUCAAGCUACCUUAGGGAUAACAGGCUAAUCUCUCUAAAGAGUCCUUAUCUAUAGUGAGGUUUGGCACCUCGAUGUUGGCUUAGGGAAUCCAUACGGCGCAAAAGUCGUAUAAAGAUGGUUUGUUCAACCAAUAAUACCCUACAUGAUCU